GAUGAACGCUGGCGGCGCGCCUAACACAUGCCAGUCGAACGGUUAAAGCACCUUUUAGGUGUGUAUAAAGUGGCGAACGGCUGAGUAACACGUGGGCAACCUGCCCUCCUCUUGGGGAUAGCCUCGGGAAACCGAGGAUAAUACCCGAUACUUCAAUGUGGCCGCAUGACGACAUUGAGAAAGCUUUUGCGGAGAAGGAUGGGCCCGCGGCCUGUUAGCUUGUUGGUGGGGUAGAGGCCUACCAAGGCAAUGAUGGGUAGCUGGGUUGAGAGACCGACCAGCCAGAUUGGGACUGAGACACGGCCCAGACUCCUACGGGAGGCAGCAGUGGGGAAUCUUGCACAAUGGGCGAAAGCCUGAUGCAGCGACGCCGCGUGCGGGACGAAGGCCUUCGGGUUGGAAACCGCUUUCAGCAGGGACGAGGCGAUAAGUGACGGUACCUGCAGAAGAAGCCCCGGCUAACUACGUG
rnacentral:rRNA from 1 species